AUGUCGAUAGCCAUACCAUAACACCGAUUCUCGUCCAUAUACCAAAGUUAAGCAAUGUCAGGAUCGGUUAGUAUUUGGGAGGAUGACCACUUUGUGGUGCUG